UACGAAGGGGGCUAGCGUUGCUCGGAAUCACUGGGCGUAAAGCGCACGUAGGCGGCUUCUUAAGUCCGCUGUGAAAUCCCCGAGCUCAACUUGGGAAUUGCAGUGGAUACUGGCAAGCUGGAGUAUGGUAGAGGAAGGUGGAAUUCCCGGUGUAGCAGUGAAAUGCGUAGAGAUCGGGAGGAACACCAGUGGCGAAGGCGGCCUUCUGGACCAAUACUGACGCUCAUGCACGAAAGCGUGGGGAGCAAACAGG
rnacentral:rRNA from 1 species